rnacentral:rRNA from 1 species
ACAUGCCUACAAUAUAGCAUUAAUGCAUCAAAUCCCAUUAGAACUCCACAGUUAAGAGCGCUUGAGCUAGAGUAGUACUAGAAUGGGUGACCUCCUAGGAAGUCUUAGUAUCUUACAUGCC